GGUCAAGUAAUUAAGGGCAUACGAUGGAUGCCUUGGCACUGUAUGACGAUGAAGGACGUGGUUACCUGCGAUAAGCCUCGGUGAGCUGGAAGCAAGCAUUGACCCGGGGAUUUCCGAAUGGGGAAACCUCUACGGGUAAACCCCGUAGGUUUGACUUAUGUCAAAAGUAAAACUCAGGGAAGUGAAACAUCUCAGUACCUGAAGGAAAAGAAAGCAAAAGCGAGUCCCUAAGUAGCGGCGAGCGAAAGGGGAUUAGCCUAAACCGGUCUUAUGAUACAGCCUGAGGGCGAUGUAAGGUCGGGGUUGUAGGGUUUGCCUGAAGAUGCCUCAGAGUCUUCAGGGAGUUACAAAGCCAGAGUAUAGAAGAAGCGUCUGAAUAGCGCACCAUAGAGGGUGAAAGUCCCGUAUUUGAAAUAUUCUGGUCUCCCGGCAAAUACCUGAGUACCACGGAGCACGUGAAAUUCCGUGGGAAUCUGCGAGGACCAUCUCGUAAGGCUAAAUACAAGACAGUGACCGAUAGUGUACCAGUACCGUGAGGGAAAGGUGAAAAGCACCCCGGGAGGGGAGUGAAAUAGAACCUGAAAUCGUAUGCCUACAAGGUAUAGAAGGGCUAUGUCUUCGGAUAUGCCUAACUGUGUGCCUUUUGUAGAAUGAGCCUGCGACUUACUAUGCGCAGCAAGGUUAAGGGAUCGAAAUUCCGGAGCCGAAGCGAAAGCGAGUCUGAAUAGGGCGUUAAGUUGCAUGUAGUAGACCCGAAGCCGGGUGAUCUAUCUUUGACCAGGAUGAAGUCUCGGUAACACGAGAUGGAGGUCCGAACCGGUGAAUGUUGAAAAAUUCUCGGAUGAGUUGAUGAUAGGAGUGAAAGGCUAAUCAAACCCGGUGAUAGCUGGUUCUCCUCGAAAUGCAUUGAGGUGCAGGGUUAUAUGUUUCGAUGCGGGGGUAGAGCACUGUUUGGGCUAGGGGCCCUACCAGGUUACCAAACCCAGGCAAACUACGAAUACCGUUUCGUUAAGUAUGGCACUGAGACUGUGGGGGAUAAUCUUCAUAGUCGAGAGGGAAACAACCCAGACCGUCAGCUAAGGUUCCUAAAUUCAGACUAAGUGUAAAAGGAAGUUGAAGCGCUAAGACAAUCAGGAGGUUGGCUUAGAAGCAGCCACCCUUUAAAGAAUGCGUAAUAGCUCACUGAUCGAGGGCUUCAGCGCCGAAAAUGUAUGGAACUAAGUCUGGUACCGAAGCUACGGGUGUUUACUUUUAGUAAACGCGGUAGAGGAGCGUUCCUGUUGGGGUGAAGGCGUACUGUAAAGAGCGCUGGACUGGCAGGAAGUGAGAAUGCAGGCAUGAGUAGCGAUAAGGCCGGUGAAAUUCCGGCCCACCGUAAGCCCAAGGGUUCCUCCGCAAGGUAACUCCGCGGAGGGUUAGUCGGUCCCUAAGGCGAGGCCGAAAGGCGUAGUCGAUGGGAAACAGGUUUAUAUUCCUGUACCGCAUGGCUAAGGUUUGACCGAUGGGGUAACGCAGUAGGAUAAAAGUACGGAGAGAUGGUUCUCCGGACAAGGUUGUAGGGCUAUGAUGGAAUUAGGCAAAUCCGGUUCCGGAGCUUGAGAGCUGAUGUCGACCCUGCCUUCGGGCGUGGGGUAGUCUUUGACUCCACACUGCCAAGAAAAACCUCUAAGGGACAAAGCUGUGCGACCGUACCCGAAACCGACACAGGUGGGCGAGGAGAAAAUCCUAAGGUGCGCGAGAGAAACCUCGUUAAGGAACUCGGCAAUCUAACCCCGUAACUUAGGGAGAAGGGGUGCCCCAUUAAGAUGAAGGGCCUGCGCCUGGAGUCUGAAGGGGCCGCAGUGAAGAGCUCGUGGCGACUGUUUACCAAAAACACAGGUCUCUGCUAACUCGCAAGAGGAAGUAUAGGGACUGACACCUGCCCGGUGCUGGAAGGUUAAGGGGAUAGGUUAGUCUUUUAGACGAAGCUUAGAACCGAAGCCCCAGUAAACGGCGGCCGUAACUAUGACGGUCCUAAGGUAGCGAAAUUCCUUGUCGGGUAAAUUCCGACCUGCACGAAUGGUGUAACGACUGCGGGGCUGUCUCAACGAGGAUCUCGGCGAAAUUGUAGCGCCCGUGAAGAUGCGGGCUACCCACGGUAGGACAGAAAGACCCCGUGAACCUUUACUGUAACUUGGCAUUGAUCUUUGGUCCUGCAUGUGUAGGAUAGGUGGGAGGCUUUGAAGCUGUGGCGCUAGCUGUGGUGGAGCCAUCCUUGAAAUACCACCCUUGCAAGAUUGAAAAUCUAACCGGUGUAGUUAUCCUAUAUCGGGACAAUGUCUGGCGGGCAGUUUGACUGGGGCGGUCGCCUCCUAAAGAGUAACGGAGGCGCCCUAAGGUUCCCUCAGCACGGUCGGAAAUCGUGCGUAGAGUGCAAAGGCAUAAGGGAGCUUAACUGCGAGACAUACAGGUCGAGCAGAUACGAAAGUAGGGCUUAGUGAUCCGGUGGUCCCGAAUGGAAGGGCCAUCGCUCAACGGAUAAAAGGUACUCCGGGGAUAACAGGCUUAUCGGGCCCAAGAGUCCAUAUCGACGGCCCGGUUUGGCACCUCGAUGUCGGCUCGUCGCAUCCUGGGGCUGGAGCAGGUCCCAAGGGUUUGGCUGUUCGCCAAUUAAAGCGGCACGCGAGCUGGGUUCAGAACGUCGUGAGACAGUUCGGUCCGUAUCCACCGUGGGCGUUGGAAAUUUGAGAGGGCCUGUCCCUAGUACGAGAGGACCGGGAUGGACAAACCUCUAGUGUACCGGUUGUCGCGCCAGCGGCACCGCCGGGUAGCUAUGUUUGGAAGGGAUAACCGCUGAAAGCAUCUAAGCGGGAAGCCUGCCUCAAGAUAAGAUUUCCCAUCGUUGGGUUUACCAACGACUGUAGACCCCUGAGAGAAUAUCAGGUUGAUAGGUCAUAAGUAUAAGCAUGGUAACAUGUUGAGCUGAGUGAUACUAAUCGGUCGUGAGUCUUGACCAU
rnacentral:rRNA from 1 species